rnacentral:rRNA from 1 species
UACAGAGGGGGCAAGCGUUGUUCGGAAUUACUGGGCGUAAAGGGCGCGUAGGCGGCCUUCUAAGUCGAACGUGAAAUCUCCGGGCUUAACCCGGAAACUGCCAUUGAUACUAUCUGUCUUGAAUACCGUGGAGGUGAGCGGAAUAUGUCAUGUAGCGGUGAAAUGCUUAGAUAUGACAUAGAACACCAAUUGCGAAGGCAGCUCACUACACGAAUAUUGACACUGAGGCACGAAAGCGUGGGGAUCAAACAGG